GCCAGGCAUGGUGGUGCAUGCCUGUAGUCUCAGCUACUUGGAAGGCUGAGGCAGGAGGAUUGCUUGAGCCCAGGAAGUUGAGGCUGCAGUGAGAUAUGAUUACACCACUGCACUCCAGCCUGGGUGACAGAGCAAGACCCUGUCUCAA
rfam:Pan troglodytes isolate Yerkes chimp pedigree #C0471 (Clint) chromosome 22, whole genome shotgun sequence.